AGGGCUAUAGCUUAGUUGGUAGAGCACCUAGUUUACACGUGCGCCAAUGUUUUUCAGGGAAGUCUAUGGAAAAUCUAUUGACUUUAAAAAUUGUGAAGGUUCAAGUCCCUCUAUCCCCA
rfam:Gossypium raimondii chromosome 3, whole genome shotgun sequence.